rnacentral:rRNA from 1 species
ACUCCUACGGGAGGCAGCAGUGGGGAGUAUUGCAGCAAAUGGGCGCAGCAUGUGCAUGCCAUGCCGUGCUGUGUGAUGAAGGCCAUCGGGCUUCGGUUAAGAAGCACUUUUUCAGUUCGUGGAGGAAGGGUAGUGUAGUUAAUAGCUGCAUUAUUUGACGUUAGCGACAGAAGAAGCACCGCUAACUCCGUGCCACACCGCGGUAAUACGGAGGUGCGAGCGUUAAUCGGAAUUNCUGGGCGU